GCGAACGCUGGCGGCAGGCUUAACACAUGCAAGUCGAGCGCCCCGCAAGGGGAGCGGCAGACGGGUGAGUAACACGUGGGAACGUGCCUUUUGGUUCGGAACAACCCAGGGAAACUUGGGCUAAUACCGGAUAAGCCCUUACGGGGAAAGAUUUAUCGCCAAAAGAUCGGCCCGCGUCUGAUUAGCUAGUUGGUGGGGUAAUGGCCCACCAAGGCUACGAUCAGUAGCUGGUCUGAGAGGAUGAUCAGCCACAUUGGGACUGAGACACGGCCCAAACUCCUACGGGAGGCAGCAGUGGGGAAUAUUGGACAAUGGGGGCAACCCUGAUCCAGCCAUGCCGCGUGAGUGAUGAAGGCCUUAGGGUUGUAAAGCUCUUUUAGCAGGGAAGAUAAUGACGGUACCUGCAGAAAAAGCCCCGGCUAACUUCGU
rnacentral:rRNA from 1 species